rnacentral:lncRNA from 1 species
GAAGUGCAGCUACCGUCAAGGCUGCCUUUUGAACCUACCUUAUGCAAACGCACUGAAGUAUAUAUCUCGUUUUGUGCUUUGCCAGCCGUAAGUUUCAGCCCCAUGCCACUUCUUCCAGAGGGUUGCAAAGAUGGGGGAUUGGGGGCAGGUACUGGUCAGGCGGGAUGGGAAAUAGGGUGACGACUCAGGAUGGGAUGUGGGGCUACACUACUUUUAGUAUGGGGAUUGCUGUCGGGGUGAGGAUGGGGCUGGGAACCCUGUCAGAGGGAUGGGGAUUGAAACCUUGACCAAGGAUGGGAUUGGGAACCCUGGCCAAGGACGGGGAUGGGACCCUGGCUGAUAGGAUGGGGAUUGCAGGCUGUCGCAGGUUUAGGAUGGGCUCGCUGGCAUAGGGUGAGGACUGGGGACACAGCUGGAGGAUUAGGAUGGAUGGUUCUGCUGUAGGAUGAGGCUGCAGGUGCAGAAUGGGGAAUACUGACAGGACUGCAACAGACCAAGGAUGGGUGGUGUAAUUGUCCAUAGUUGCUUACUUGGUGUGCUGUUACUUAUAGUGCAUCUCACAGCGUCUGGUGGAAGUGUUUAAAUGGUGGCCAAAGCCAGUACCAAACAUGCAUGUGGUUGUCAUGGUCGAUUUUGCUCACACACUUCAACUCAUGGGUCCGCAAUAUGGUGAACCAAACACCGAGAGAUGUCUUCCCAAAGAAAGGCACCCCUGCCCAACAGCACCAUAAUCAGCUGUCCAGGUAUAGCCCAUGCCCAUGUUCACCAGCACCACAACGGGCCUCACAUUACCCACUUGACACACAUGAGCACAUCUCACCAAAAGCGGCCCCCGCAGGCUGCACCACUGCUGUCUGCCAAAAGCCUGGCCAUCAUCAGUGCAUGCAUCAACAUCAGCCAUCUCACCAGGCCGUCAUGCAUUCAAUUGUUAGACAUCUGUUUAUAGUCGCGUCCCAUAGCAAACCAAACACAAACACAAGGAAGUCUAUGAGUUGGCAGCACCGAAUCUAGGCUGGGGAGUCUAACAUCAGAGUCGUCCAUGCAAUUUUGCUUCACACCAAAUGGCUGGCACUCAUUGCAAACAACACAACCAACCCUCGCCCCCUACCGUGGGGGGGACAGUGCCCACGAAUUCAUGCCUGGCACGCUCCCAAUGCGACUAAACAAGGUGACGAACCUUUAAGCGGCAGGGCCCAUAUAGGCAAUGGUCUGGUCUGGGUUGACACUACUGCAAUUUGCGGCAGUGCAACAGGUGCAGGUGCAGCCAAUGCAUGCUCUCGACGUGGGUCUUGGACUUCACCCGGCCCGUGCAUUUCGACUCGUCAACCAUUGCAGGAUAUCCUAUUAUACCUACAUGGGCAUGAGACAGGCAUGGAAAGCGACUUGGUGUAAAUGAGGAGAGAGAAGUGAACCGUUGGUGCACUCCGCCAGUUCCACAGUCAGAACAUUCUUACCUUGUCCGGCCCACGCACAUCCACGGCACCAACGUAUGCGCCAUCAUAUGCCUUAACAAAGGAGAUAGGCUGACCACCUAUGCUGGGGGUGAACCAUUGGUGCAGAUUGGUGCACGCGGGACUUCUUCAUCAUCCCGCGUUCCAAACCAUGGACAUUUUGACAGAACACCCUUGUUUGUUCUGCCAUACUAACCACAGCAUAAUAAUUUGUUGCUGUGGCCAUCCAUCGAACAUAACUCUCUAGGACGACGCGCUAUGUGCAUUCACAGCAAGUGUGCAAACAGAUACAUAGACCUCUGUGCUGCAAGUUCUCCCUCGGCCGAGAUCCGCUUCAAAGAGCGUUUGUCGCUUCAGUCUGCUUCGGAAUUUGACGCUAGAGGAAAUAAGCCAUAGAGCAAGAAAAAAAUACCUUCGGGGAACUAGAAAAUAACCCUGGUCAUUCCCCUGAUUUACGCCUAAAGAGAAAGCCGAUAUUACAGCACCUGUGUAAACGUAAGGAGUAGGUUUGUAGCUGGCACCGUUACAUAUCACAUCUGUUGCAUAAUAUGUAACGUUUUUUGUACGGUUUGUUGACGUCGGAGCCCGUUUGUCGUGAAGGGCUGCAGAAGGUGGGGUAUCCUGACGGUUACCGGCGGGGAACGCAGGGGUUACUCAUAGUUGGUACCACAUGGCCGCCUCCAAAACGUGUGGAUUCAUGAAGAGAAGCUUGCAAUUAAGAUUGUGAUCGGCAUCUUUGGAGCCAGUUGCAUGCCAGAUAGAUCCAUAGAUAGAUAGAUCGACACGUUGCCUGAAGUGCGAGCCUGUUGCAACCACUCCUUUACAUGCAGACUGUGAAAAUCUGAAGCAUUACGUUUUUAUAAUAAUAAUAACAAUUCAAAUUUAUUAUGCCUUUACCAAUGGCGCAAAUGUCUUAGGUAGGCUAGAAGUUGUUGCUACUUCUGCGCGCGGGUAGGGCCUGCAACAGACAGCUGCUAAAAUCUGAUAAACUACUGACCGGUGAUUUUGCUGAUGUUUUUAUCGCCGUACUG